rnacentral:rRNA from 1 species
UACGUAGGUGGCAAGCGUUGUCCGGAUUUAUUGGGUUUAAAGGAUGCGUCGGCGGUUUUGUAAGUCAGUGGUGAAAUAUGUCAGCUUAAAUGGGAGGGUGCCAUUGAAACUGCAGAUCUUGAGUACAGAUGAGGUAGGCGGAAUUGAAGGUGUAGCGGUGAAAUGCUUAGGUAUCGUCAAGAACACCUAUAGCGAAGGCAGCUUACUAGGCUGUAACUGACGCUGAGGCACGAAAGUGUGGGGAUCAAACAGG